AUCGUUUACCGUGAAAAAAUUAGAGUGUUCAAAGCGGGCAGAAACUUUUUCCUGCCACCGAAUACAUUAGCAUGGGAUAAUGGAAUAGGACCCUGACCUCCUAUUUUCAGUUGGUUUUGUUUACAGCGAGGUUCAUCAGGGUAAUGAUUAAUAGGGAUAGUUGGGGGCAUUAA
rnacentral:rRNA from 1 species